rnacentral:rRNA from 1 species
CCUACGGGUGUCAGCAGUGAGGAAUAUUGGUCAAUGGCCGGAAGGCUGAACCAGCCAAGCCGCGUGAAGGACGAAGGUGCCAAGCAUUGUAAACUUCUUUUGUCAAGGGACAAAAUCAGGCUCGAGAGCCUGACCGAGGGUACUUGAAGAAAAAGCAUCGGCUAACUCCGUGCCAGCAGCCGCGGUAAUACAGAGGAUGCGAGCGUUAUCCGGAUUUAUUGGGUUUCAAGGGUGCGUAGGCGGACUUUUAAGUCAGCGGUAAACGCCCGGGGCUCAACCCCGGAGAGCCGUUGAAACUGGCUGUCUUGAGAUGUCGAGAGGUAUGCGGAAUGCGCAGUGUAGCGGUGAAAUGCUUAGAGAUCAUACAGAACACCGAUUGCGAAGGCAGCUUACCAAUCUAUAUCUGACGUUGAGGCACGAAAGCGUGGGGAGCAAACAGGAUUAGAUACCCUUGUAGUC